CAAGCCUUCGGAGUGCUCGCGCGCGCGCGUUGAAAGUUCAGCCAUUGGUCAGCGGCUGCACAUUCUUCUACCGUGGUGGAUGUUUCACACUGCUUUGAACCCUCAAGACUCCACGAUUACUGGAUACGCCGUCACUUGAACCUCGGCGGCCGGAGCAGGACUGUGGUUGCGGCCGUUUCGUUGCCAGCUGUGAGGAUGAAGCAGCUUCAUAACCGGAGAUCAGUCGCCUCCCAUCAGUUUCCCUUUUCAGCAAUAGAGGUCUUGGGUGCCUUUCUACCGGUGUUGCAUCCUGUGACUGACCACUCCAACGAUCUUGGCAGAAUCGUUACGCAGGAAGAAGUCCGGCUGGCCCCAAGCCUGGUGUGAAAUGAAGAAAUGGCACUCCACAUCAAUUCAUGUUUACUUGUCGUCAUAACCAGUCUGUUAGCUUAAUUUUUGGUUCUUCCUAUUGAAUUCUCAAGAAAGGUACCAACUCUGUCAUUCAUUGAAAACGAAUUUUUGCACUUGGGGACGCAGCCAUGCACAAAGCC